CAAAGGAUAGUUUAGAUAAUAAAAUAUUAAUUUUGGAGAUUAAAGAUGGAUAAAGAUUUCUUCCUUUGA
rnacentral:tRNA from 1 species